rnacentral:rRNA from 1 species
CAAGCCCCCCCCUGGGCAAGGGUUACCUCCAGGGGCCCCCGGAAAAAGGCGGCUUUUCCUUGGCCUAACCCUUUUGGGGAAUAGAGGGGGGGCAAGACUGGUGUCAGCCCCCCCGGUAACACCAGCCCCUCGAGUGGUGGGGAUGAUUAUUUGGCCUAAAGCGUCCGUAGCCGGGCGGGUAAGUCUCCCGUUAAAUCCAGCGUCUCAAGCGUUGGACUGCGGGAGAUACUGUCUGGCUAGAGAGUGGGAGAGGUGUACGGUAUUCUGGGGGUAGGGGCGAAAUCCUUUGAUCCCCGGAGGACCACCAGUGGCGAAGGCUGUACACUAGAACACGUCUGACGGUCAGGGACGAAAGCUGGGGUAGCGAACCGGAUUAGAUACCCGGGUAGUCCCAGCCGUAAACGAUGCACGCUAGGUGUUGGGGCGGCCACGAGCCGCUCCAGUGCCGCAGGGAAGCCGUUAAGCGUGCCGCCUGGGGAGUACGGCCGCAAGGCUGAAACUUAAAGGAAUUGGCGGGGGA